UCAGUUUCCAUUUUUUCAUUUUCGUUUCAUGAAAACUGGUUUUCCAGGCGAAGAUAAAUAAAUCAUAAAACCGAAUCUCGUCGUUUCCGUGAAGUCUCAAGUUUCAAACCUAAUUAUGAUAAUCGAGAAGCACUGGAUUCAUCUUUGAAGAACCUAGAUCGUUUUCAUCAGUCAUUUGAAGAUUAACUGAAAAUCGAUAGAUUUUAGCAAAUCAAUUCGAAGAUGUCAUCAUUUGGAAGCGAUGAAAACAUGUUUUUAUCAUUUAAUUUGAUUUAAUCUUCCUCCCUUUGAACUCUUUAAACAAAGAGAGAAACUCUUUCAACUCCUUUUCUUUUCAUCAGAUCUGAAGAUUUAGAGAAAUAAUUUUUGUUUUGGUUAAUGAAAAAUGGAUUUCAUGGACAGAUUACGGAGGGUGGAACUAAUGCGUUUGGAGAAGAUGCCAUUUAUGCAGCUUAUAAUUCCCGUUGAAUCUUCUCUUCUGAUUUGAUUUCUCGAGUGGAAGACAUUGACGUUCCUCAUUUCCCUCGUGGAGGAGGGAGUACUUUGAGUAAGCAGAAGAAAACAAAUACAACUGAAGAUAAUGAUUUUGGUGGUGACAUUGCUGGGAAAAUAACUAGAUAUGCAAAUAAAAUCGCCUUGAAGACAAACAAAUGGGAGACUGGUAUAGCGCGAGAGUUUCAGAAAUAGUGGAUGCAGCGGAAUGUGCAUGUGUAAGUUCAAAUAAGUAAUUGACACACACGAGAAGCUACAGAUCAAAAGAGUUGAUGAUCACAUGCAGGCGUCAUGGUAAUGUCUGAACUUGCUCGGGGAUAUCUUUUGGGAAGUUUCUGGAGCUCAGCUUUUCCAACCAUGUAGCUGCAAAUAUGGUUCCAAACUGUGGUCAUUUUCUGCAUAGAAACUGUCUUCGAUUUGACGGUUUGGGGAGGUAGAUAUAUAUUGAUAGUUCAUUGGUUGCUAGCUGCUCUUCUGUGGUUGAAGUAACUGUUAUGGUCAAUAAUGAAUGUCUAUAUUGGACUUUGAGAGAGGAUUUAUUUAAAAUUCUUUUGGAAUUGGUUAAUAAGAAGCAAGAUAAAUUUGAACUUGUCUUUAUAGAAAAACAGGUACGUCAAAUCAUUUUGCAUAGCUUUCAGGUUAUCGUUGCUCUCAGUUUUGGAUUUUUCCAGAGUUAGUUUGAUAUGUGUACAAUCUGUGAUAUAGAAGAGUCCAUAAGCUUAUACUUGCAUAGAGACUAGGGUGUACAACCUGGUAUACAUGUAAAAACUUGAUACCAUAAGCUUAUGCUUCUAUAAAAUUAGGGUGUAAACACUAGUACACAUAUGGAAAAAUGAAUAUUAGUUUAUCCUUGGGUAGAUAAAUGGGGAGUACAAACUGGUACACUUGUGUAGAAUUGACUCCAUAAUAUUAUGCAUGCAUCAAUAACUAGGGUGUACGUGUGAAAAGAAAUGGCUUCAUAAGCUUAUGUUGCAUAAAUAACUAGGGUGUACAAACUAGUAAACAUGUCUAAAAUUUACUCUAUAAGAUUAUGCUUGUGUAAAACUUGGGUGUACAAACUGGUACACAUGUGGAUAAAAUAACUCUAUAAGGUUUAUGCUUGGUUAAAUAGAAAGAGUGUAAAAUUUGGUACACAUGUGAAAAAUUGACUCCAUAAGAUUAUGUGUGAGUAAAUAAGCUUAUGGAGUAUUGUGCUUACCUUUUCUUUCUAGUUACUUAAUUUUUUUUUGUUUGCUUCUCUUGUAACCUCAUGCACUGCCUUAGCACUCUUAACUGCAAGCAAACAUUCAUGUCCCAAUAAGAAAUUGAUGCCUCACCCGAGUAUCACAUGUUUAAGAUUUGUUGAUUAUCAAUUUGUACAUAGUUGUACACGUAUUGAUUCUUAAUGUACACAUGUUCAAUUUUAAUGUGCAAAUAAUUGUACACUCGUCAAUGUAAACAUGAUUGUACGCCUAUUGAUUGUUCACGAGUGCACAUGGUGAAAUUCAUUUUAAUUUCAAAUUUAUUGAUUAAGAUAACUACCUUAGGACAUCUCCAACUUAAUUAUUCUGGAGAAACACUUCAUGUUGUUCAUUCAUAUCCGUUUACACUUAGCUCGUCUUUCAUGAACUCUCAAAAUUGUCGGCGGUCCUUGCAUUUUUUCUAUUGUACUGGCAGUUUUAUACUUCCCACUGAGCUUGCUUCAAUUGUCUGUUAGAUUUCUCUCGAAAAUAAUAGCAAAAUGAAAGGAAAUGAUCAUGAAAGACUGGUAUUAGGGUCCGAUGAUAUCACCAUGUUCCUUUGGGAAACUGUUGUCAGUAAACACCCUAAAGCACCUGAUUGCUACACUAUCUUUUUAGCCUUCUCCCACUAAGUUCGUGAUGCAAUCUACUGGUUCAAGGUAUCCUCGUUUCUAAUGUUCAAUCUCAAACGGUGGAGAUGACUUACAGGGUGACAUAACCAGAUGGAAUUGGUGCAUCUGAGUAAUUGGUGCUAUUGAGAUGGUAAAACUCUGAAGUGGUGAUCUGGUGAAUAAAUAUGAAAUGCCAAUGGAAUUGCAAAGAUGAAAUCUGAAUUGUGUGAUGUUGGCGGUAGAGAAUUUAUGUUGUUGUUGGAUGGGUAGUGUUGUUGUAGAGAAGUGCAGCUAAUAUUGCAAAGCUACAGAAACGGAUAAAAAAUUUGAGUUGAAUGGUUGAGGUGUUGUAGUUGUUUGCCGCAGUAUGGUUAAGAGUGGUUGAGCGUUGGAGCUGGUUUUGGUAAUGAGUUUGGGUUGUAAACAUGUUGUAUUUUUGUAGAUGUGUACAUGUUUGUACACCAAUGUAAACAAAGUUUUAAAAAAAAAAAUGAAAAUUAUAUAGUCAUAGGGGUACUCUUUUUGCAGCUCUCUGAAAGAGCUUUCCGAAUAUAUAAAAUUUGUGAAUUAUGAGUCACUUUGGACUAAA